rnacentral:sRNA from 1 species
CUGUUGCAGCUGCUGCUGAUGUUUCUGCUGCUGCUGCUGCUGUAUUUGCUGCAGGUAGUGUUGCUGCUGCUGUAGCUGCUGCAGCGGCUGCAGCUGCUCCAGCUGCUGUUGCUGCUGCUGCUGCUACUAGCUGUUGCUGCAGCUACUGCAACAGCAGCUGCUGCAGCAGCUGUUGCUGCAGCAACUACACUUGCUGCAGCUGCUGCAGCAGCAGCAGCAGCUGCAGCAGCAGCAGCAGCUGCAGCAACGGAGGCGGCUGCUGGCCUUU